GACGAACGCUGGCGGCGUGCCUAACACAUGCAAGUCGAGCAGAGGGAUACGAGGAGCAAUCUGAGGAUUCCUGAGCGGCGGACGGGUGAGUAACGCGUGGGCAACCUGCCUUGCACUGGGGGAUAACGCGGCGAAAGCCGCACUAAUACCGCAUAAGACCACAAGGGCCGCAUGGUCCGGGGGUCAAAGGAGCGAUCUGGUGGAAGAUGGGCCCGCGUCCGAUUAGGUAGUUGGUGGGGUAAAGGCCUACCAAGACUGAGAUCGGUAGCCGACCUGAGAGGGUGAUCGGCCACACUGGAACUGAGACACGGUCCAGACUCCUACGGGAGGCAGCAGUGGGGAAUAUUGGGCAAUGGGGGAAACCCUGACCCAGCAACGCCGCGUGAGGGAAGAAGGUCCUCGGAUUGUAAACCUCUGUUCCUGGAGAAGAGAAGAAGACGGUAUCCAGGGAGGAAGCCCCGGCUAACUACGUGCCAGCCGCCGCCGUAAGAC
rnacentral:rRNA from 1 species